ensembl:lncRNA
GUGAGAGGGACAGUGAGGGAGUGAGUGAGUGAGAGGGACAUUGAGUGAGUGAGAGGGACAGUGAGUGAGUGAGUGAGUGAGUGAGAGGGACAGUGAGUGAGUGAGAGGGACAGUGAGUGAUUGAGUGAGUGAGAGGGACAGUGAGGGAGUUGAGUGAGUGAGAGGGACAGUGAGGGAGUGAGUGAGUGAGAGGGACAGUGAGGGAGUGAGUGAGAGGGACAGUGAGGGGAUGUGAGGGACAGUGAGUGAGUGAGUGUGAGGGACAGUGUGAGGGACAGUGAGAGGGACAGUGAGUGAGUGAGGGAGUGAGUGAGUGAGAGGGACAGUGAGAGGGACAGUGAGUG